rnacentral:rRNA from 1 species
UACGUAGGGUGCAAGCGUUGUCCGGAUUUAUUGGGCGUAAAGAGCGUGUAGGCGGCUUUACAGGUCCGUUGUGAAAACUCGAGGCUCAACCUCGAGACGCCGGUGGAAACCGUAAAGCUAGAGUCCGGAAGAGGAGAGUGGAAUUCCUGGUGUAGCGGUGAAAUGCGCAGAUAUCAGGAGGAACACCGAUGGCGAAGGCAGCUCGCUGGGACGGUACUGACACUGAGAGACGAAAGCUAGGGGAGCGAAUGGG